UACGGAGGGUACAAGCGUUGUUCGGAAUUACUGGGCGUAAAGCGCACGUAGGCGGGUUCGUAAGUCGAUUGUGAAAGCCCCGGGCUCAAUCCGGGAAUUGCAGUCGAAACUACGAGUCUUGAAUACCUGAGAGGGUGACGGAAUUCCUGGUGUAGAAGUGAAAUUCGUAGAUAUCAGGAGGAACACCGGAGGCGAAGGCGGUUGCCUGGCAGUGUAUUGACGCUGAGGUGCGAAAGCGUGGGGAGCAAACAGG
rnacentral:rRNA from 1 species